UUUAGGAUGUAGGUAAUCAUCACCACCCUAUUCAACAAACUUCUCAACUUAACCAAAAUUUACGAAAGGACUUUUUUUUUCAAAAGUAGGAUUGGUUGUGGUCUUCAACUUUACCUUCUAGGUUAUACCUGGUGCCAAAAGCCUAAUUCAGAUUGAGUCAAAAGAAAAGUUAUGAGAUGGCCAAAGAAAGCAGCUGAAGUAAAAGUAAAGUGAGCAGGUCAACUCUCACGUGCUGGUGGAAAAUUACCAAAACAAAUGUUAAGGACUUAAUUCAUAAUGGCAAACAAAGAAUACACGAAUUAUUUAAGAUAUGGUUGAAAUUUGGAAAGAAA
rnacentral:lncRNA from 1 species